GCAUUAAUGGGGUAGUGGUAACCUGGGUCGUUGCCAUUCCAGUUGAAUAGGAAAUUGAGUUCUCGACCCGCCGGGGGUUCGAUUCCCCCUUAAUGCA